rnacentral:lncRNA from 1 species
GGAGGUUGUUGGGUCCCAUGUGAAUUUGAGAUGGACACAUACAUCAACAGAAGGAACAAGAGGAAGAAUGAGAAGGAUUGAAAUGGGUUUGGAGGGGAACACCAUAUGGAAAGGGAAGUAAAGGGAUAUUCCUGGUAAGACAUGAGUAAUGAGCGGGAGAUGGAGGUCGGACGUAACCAGAACUCUAUGUAUGAAUGUUUUGGUGUUUGGUCUGAUGC